rnacentral:rRNA from 1 species
CCUACGGGAGGCUGCAGUGAGGAAUAUUGGUCAAUGGGCGCGAGCCUGAACCAGCGAAGUAGCGUGAAGGAUGACUGCCCUACGGGUUGUAAACUUCUUUUAUAAAGGAGUAAAGUGAGUCACGUGUGCCUUUUUGUAUGUACUUUAUGAAUAAGGAACGGCUAACUCCGCGCCAGCAGCCGAGGUAAUACGGAGGAUCCGAGCGUUAUCCGGAUUUAUUGGGUUUAAAGGGAGCGUAGAUGGGUUGUUAAGUCAGUGGUGAAAGUUCGCGGCUCAACCGUGAAAUUGCAAUUGAUACUGGCAGCCGUGAGUGCAGUUGAGGUAAGUGGAAUUCGUGGUGUAGCGGUGAAAUGCUUAGAUAUCACGAAGAACUCCGAUUGCGAAGGCAGCCUACUGGACUGCCACUGACAUUGAUGCUCGAAAGUGUGGGUAUCAAACAGGAUUAGAUACCCCUGUAGUC